AAAUUCGCGGCUCAUCUCCCACAGGACCCUGGCGAAACAGCCCUCCCGACAGCACCGCGCAAGGAACCUCAAGCAGCCUCGCCCCUCCCCUCCUCUCGCUCUCUCUGCACCUAGCUAGGCAGUGGUGAAUCCUCUCUUCCUUGAUCGAAUGGGGCGUGCGAGGGAGCCGAUUUGUGCGAGGUGAUCCAGCGCUACAACCUCCAGCCAAGGCGCGGAGAGGAUCUAGCGGACGCACAAGAUGCGGGUGAAUCUGGGCCCGCCGAUGCGGGCGAUCCAUGGUUUACGCUUAGGGUCGCGGCACAUUCUAUGUUUGUGGGCAUACCGGCAGCUUACCUGCUAGACUUCAUGCUGCACGUCGGCGCGGAUCUUUGGAUGGGAAUAAUAUCUAGUAUUCUGGUGCACGUCCUGCUGUUUGUGGCCAUAACACUGCACACCAACUGGCAGAAUGAGGCAAUAAAAGGCGAAGAACAGAGUCUUCACUUUUCUCUUUCAACGGAUCUCCUAGCGAAAUGAAGAUAUGAAUAGGUGCUACUGAAGUACCGAACAUAUGCUUAGUAUAGAGAAGAGCGUGCGGGUGAACAAGAUAAGAAAGCAAGUGAGACCCUGAGAAAGUCCGCAUACAUGUAUAUCUCAAGGGAGGAAAUUCUUGAUCAUGAAUACAUUUUCCAAGGUGUGAAACUGACCGAAGCAGAAAAGGACUUCAGGAUGCCCAAAAGCAUUUUGACAAGGCUUCUUAGUUGCAACAUUAAACAUUAUAUUCUACAUGAUUCUGAAACUCAGAUUGUGUAUGUCCAAUCUUAGAGCUACAAUAGCAAUUCAAUAUGUUGGCUUACUGUAAACAAAUGAUCGAGUUGCAAUUUCUACCAUUUUUUCCGUUAACCUUCCACUAUUAUAGUCACGUUCACUGUAAUCUGACAGACUUCAUUUACCACAGUAUUAUAGGUAUUAGACCGGUGCUCCAGUGGUAGACUCCGAACAUUCUUUGUAAGUAUAUCAUCAUGUAAAUAAAUAGACGCAAGAAUUGAGAUGUUUUUUUUUUUUUGCAAUGUUUCUUUUACUAGAAACAAAAUAUACUCUUGUGGGUUUCUACUUACUGCUGUUUGGAGUACCCCUCAUCUCAAAAGAAAAAUGAGAAAUUGUGUGAACAUUUUA